AGCGAACGCUGGCGGCAGGCCUAACACAUGCAAGUCGAGCGGCCGUAGCAAUACGGCAGCGGCAGACGGGAGAGUAACACGUGGGAACGCGCCCUUCGGCUCGGGAUAACUCAGGGAAACUUGGGCUAAUACCGGAUACGCCCUUACGGGGAAAGAUUUAUUGCCGAAGGAACGGCCCGCGUCCGAUUAGCUAGUUGGUGAGGUAACGGCUCACCAAGGCGACGAUCGGUAGCUGGUCUGAGAGGAUGACCAGCCUCACUGGGACUGAGACACUGCCCAGACUCCUACGGGAGGCAGCAGUGGGGAAUAUUGGACAAUGGGCGCAAGCCUGAUCCAGCCAUGCCGCGUGGGUGAUGAAGGCCCUAGGGUUGUAAAGCCCUUUCAGCGGGGAAGAUAAUGACGGUACCCGCAGAAGAAGCCCCGGCUAACUUCGUGCCAGCCGCCGCAGUAA
rnacentral:rRNA from 1 species